rnacentral:rRNA from 1 species
GACAGAGGUGCCAAGCGUUAGGCGGAAUCACUGGGCUUAAAGCGUGUGUAGGCGGAUCGUUAAGUGCUUUGUGAAAUCCCAUGGCUUAACCAUGGAACUGCUUGGCAUACUGGCGAUCUUGAGCGAUCUAGGGGCGAGCGGAACAAAUGGUGGAGCGGUGAAAUGCGUAGAUAUCAUUUGGAACGCCAAAGGUGAAAACAGCUCGCUGGGGAUCUGCUGACGCUGAGACACGAAAGCCAGGGGAGCGAACGGG